rnacentral:rRNA from 1 species
AGGACGAACGCUGGCGGCGUGGAUUAGGCAUGCAAGUCGCGCGACGGACCUUCGGGUUACGGAGCGGCGAACGGGUGAGUAACACGUGAACAAUCUGUCCCUACAUUCCGGAUAAUUGGCCGAAAGGCCUUGUAAUACGGGCGAGGAUGGUGGUGAGGCAUCUCACUAUCAGGGAAGGUGCAACGCAAGUUGUGCCGUGCAGGGAGGGUUCGCGGCCUAUCAGUUAGUUGGUGGGUAACGGCCUACCAAGACGACGACGGGUAGCUGGUCUGAGAGGAUGGUCAGCCACAUUGGAACUGAGACACUGUCCAGACUCCUACGGGAGCUGCAGUCGAGAUCUUGGGCAAUGCACGAAAGUGUGACCCAGCGACGCCGCGUGGAGGAUGGAGGCCCUUGGUUGUAACUCCUUUAUGAGAAGACGUCCUUACGGGACUUGACGUACUCCAUGAAGUAACGCACGGCUAACUACGUGCCAGCAGCCGC